rnacentral:rRNA from 1 species
AACCAAUUAUAGCUCAAAACACACUACAUACAACUGCCCUAAUAAUAUUAAAAUAAAACAUUCACAACAAUAAGAGUAUAGGUGAUAGAAAUUUUAUAUGACGCUAUAGAAAAAGUACCGUAAGGGAAAAAAUGAAAGAA